CAGCGCCACGAGUGGGGGUCACGAUUAUUGGGCCUAAAGCGUCCGUAGCCGGUUCAGCAAAUCCUUUGUGAAAUCGUUGGGCUCAACCCAACGGCGUGCAGGGGACACUACUGAACUAGGGACCGGGAGGGGUUGGAGGUAUUUCUGAGGGAGCGGUAAAAUGCUAUAAUCUCAGGAGGACCACCUGUGGCGAAGGCGUCCAACCAGAACGGAUCCGACGGUGAGGGACGAAAGCUGGGGGAGCAAACCGGAUUAGAGACCCGAGUAGUCC
rnacentral:rRNA from 1 species